AAGACCCGUCACUCAAUAAAAGCAACUACUACCAUACUUGACCGAAGCAUCCAUUAGCACUUUUGUGUUCUGGGUGCUUUCUUGCUUUAUAUAUCAAAAAGACGUCAAAUCUUUUAUAUAAUUAUGCAUAUUUUGUGGUAAGGUUACCGGGUAUUGAAACACCUAAAUUUAGUCUGUGAAUCCACCCAUGAGAAUGAGAGGUGAUUAUUAUGGUUUUCGGUGGUGGUCUGUUGGUGUAAUAACUGUAUUUCAUACACACAUAUAUAUAUAGUGUUAUUACACCCAUGAUAAUCACUCCCCGUUCUACCAUAUCAAUGCAAAAAAAAAACAAAAACAAAUUAUGUGUGUAUAUUGUGAUAUACCUAUUACAUACAAGUGAUAUACGCUGACAUGCAAUUGAUAUAUACUAUGUUAAUUAGAUGUCGUACAUACUUGUAUAUCACUUGUAUGUCAAAGUAUAUAGCUUAUGUAUACAAUGAUAUACAAUGAUAUAUACCUCCUGUACGUAGAGAUAAGAAGUCCAGGAAGCCAUCAGAGAGAAAUCUGGCGAAGAAGCAACAACGUAACAACAAACAACAUCCAAGCUCCAGCGAAUUAAGAAGCACCAGCAACGAAUAGAACUCGGGAGUUUUUUCGGCGAAGCAACGAGACUCCAAUGAAACAACGACGAACUUCGGUGAACAUCGGAAAACAUGCAAAAUUCUGAUGAUGGUGAAUGGAGGUCUAGAUGGGGAUAAGGACAACUAUGGUCUGUGGGAAAAGAAGAAAUGAAGAAAGAGAAGUUUGGAAGUAAGAGGGACAAAAAAGAAGAUCUUCAAAAUUCAUAAUUAUGCUAAAUUUGUCAGUGGGAUUAUUACUUGGUGGCUAAGGCACUCUUUUUCAGUAAAUAGGGUGUUCUAUUCUAUUGUAAUUCAUCCCAAAGUCAUAAGAAUUUCCUCUUGCUACUUUGCUCUGCAAUACUCUUCUUCUUCUUCUUUUAUUGUUUCAUAACACGUUAUCAGCACAAGACUCUAAUCAAUUGAGUAGAAGCUUUGGGAUUGAGCAUAAUGAUUGUCCAUUGUUUCAUGAACUUCCUUCAUGAUUAAAUUCUAGAUUUAAGGUAAGUAUUUUAUUUAUUUCUCUUUUCUUAAAAAUCUUGAAUUCUAUAAUUUGAUUUUAAAUACAAGUAAAGACAAUAAACUUUGAUUAUAACUCGAAUAGAGUUUGUAAGAU
rnacentral:lncRNA from 1 species